GUGAAUCAUCGAAUCUUUGAACGCAAAUUGCACUUUCUGGUAUUCCGGAAAGUAAGCCUGUUUGAGGGUCAGUUAAAUGAAAGUCGGUGUUGUUCCUGCUUUUCGUGGUGACGCGUCGGGGUUGAGUUGUAUUACCUUCGUUUAAGUGACUUAAAAUUUUGCAUGAUUUUCGAACGUAUUUAUAUUGCUUACGUACGUUUGAGAUAUCGAAUGCUUUCUUAGGUUCGGUCAUUGCCAUGAUUAGCGCCUAUCAUUUUUCAUGAAUUGACCUCAAUUCAGG
rnacentral:misc_RNA from 1 species